rnacentral:rRNA from 1 species
UGUCGUCAGCUCGUGUCGUGAGGUGUUGGGUUAAGUCCCGCAACGAGCGCAACCCUCGCCCUUAGUUGCCAGCAUUUAGUUGGGCACUCUAAGGGGACUGCCGGUGAUAAGCCGAGAGGAAGGUGGGGAUGACGUCAAGUCCUCAUGGCCCUUACGGGCUGGGCUACACACGUGCUACAAUGGUGGUGACAGUGGGCAGCGAGCACGCGAGUGUGAGCUAAUCUCCAAAAGCCAUCUCAGUUCGGAUUGCACUCUGCAACUCGAGUGCAUGAAGUUGGAAUCGCUAGUAAUCGUGGAUCAGCAUGCCACGGUGAAUACGUUCCCGGGCCUU